ACUCUCUGCAAUCAAGAAACAAGACGUCCUCUUUCAACUUCUAUUCAAGAAAUCGAGAACUAAGGAGAGGGAGUUCCUGCUCCGUCCAGUUGCAAAUCUGCAAAUUUAAGGUGAGACUUCGCAAGGGAAUCGAGAUACCAAAGGGAAGGAAGUGUAGAGAAUUAAUCAAUUGAGGUUGAGCGGCGACGAGGACGUGGUGGUGUUGAGCAAGUGAAUUUAAGAUAUUAUGGUUGUUUUUGAACCUUGGGUGUCGUUGUGUCUCCACACAUGACGUCACUCUUUCUCUUGGUCGUUUCCGCUGUGACUUUUCGGUUAUUCAUGUUUUAUUUGGGCCGACAGCUUUAAUUGUUAGGAUAAUGGAUAUUCAGAAUUUAUUGUUGGAUAAUAUUAAACUCUUGGUUAUUUAAUUGGAUAUUAA